UGGCUCAGUUGGUAGAGCAUGUGACUCUUAAUCUCAGGGUCGUGAGUUCAAGCCCCAC
rnacentral:tRNA from 1 species